UCUUGGUUCUGGUGGAGACAGAAGCACAAGAGCAAGCCUGGAGACUGAAGUCAGCUCACUGUUUCUUAAUCUCUGCACUCCCUGAUAAACUCAGAAGAGACAAGGCUGCAGGCUUCACACUUUCGCUGGAUGUUGUCCCAUUUCAGCCUCUACUUCAAAUAGAAGUUGGAUUUGUAACCCAUAUGGAAGGCAAUAAACCCAUCAGCAAGGAGUGAUCACCUCUGGAGAGGUGGAGUGAUGAACAGAGUGGGACAAGAAGCCAGGCCUUCUGGUCUCUGGUCCAGGAGUGGAUUCAGUCGUGUUUAUUGUAAGCAUGAAAGCAGCCAAAUAAUUUUAACUGCUUAAAGUUAGGCUUUACUCACCUCUUGGAUUAGGCUUCCACGGUGAGUGAGCAUCUGUUAAGAGGAGGAUAAUGCCUCAGCCCCACGAAAGUCAAAGUUUGUUUUCCUGAAGUAUACUCUGUUCCUUGGGUUCAUUAUUUUCUAGUUAUGCAGCAACUAUGCAAACACAACCUUAGGAACAGGUGAAAAUCUAAUCUGUUCUCAUUCAUAUGUUUAAGCAGUUCUUGAAAUCUUACCAGGCGGUUGGUGCCUGCUUUGUUAUAAAAGCAUGCACCUAUACACAAGUGCCGAGGAAAAGCUGCCUCUGAGCUCCCAGCCUCUCCCGUGCCGUGUUCUGCAUGGGAACGGAGCUUUCCUGGGGGGAUUCUGUCCCCGGAGCCCCCCCAUAAGCAGGAAUCCUCAGCCAACCUGAGUGUGCUCAGGAAGCCAAGUGCAUUUGCUUGAUUUGGGAUUGUUGUUCUGCUUACUCCUUUUUAAUGCAUUUCUUUGAGUAAGAGAUAAAAGUUAAUUAAUACGGGGUUGGAACGUGGGAGAACCACCUGCAAAAUGAAAAACUCUAGGCUUUUUUAUGAAGAGUUAAAAAGGUCAUCAAAGUCUCCCGUGCAAUUACGCACGAUCCAUCUUAACGCCUCUGGUUUGGCGCCCGACUGCUCCGUUACAGCCUUUUCCUUUGCUUUCCUGCCACUCUGUGACGGGUUUGACAUUCGUCAGCCAAACCUUGCAGCUGAAGAUGAAAUACCAAAGCAUUUAAAUGUUUUGAAGCCCACGCAUCUCGUCUCCGAAGCGCCCUCGCAUUCCGUAGCUGUCUGAACAUGGAAAAAUGCCAGAGGAAGCAGCCAGCUCAAUAGCGCUGUGUUUAAAAGCCGAUGUAGCAUGACUCAUUUGGAAAAGGUCUUUGAAUAAGAGUUUGGAACAGUUAAAAGGAAAAUCCUUCCCUCUGCACCCCUUGUCAGAGGUAGUUAGGAAGAGUGAAGUAUAUGACCUCAUUGUGAAGUAUAUUGACCUUAUUAAUGUUCACAGAUAUAUAAAGGGUGAGUGUCACGAGGAUGGAGCCAGGCUCUUCUCAGUGACAACCAGUGAUAGGACAAGGUGCAAUGGGUACAAACUGGAACACAAAAGGUUCCACUUAAAUUUGAGAAGAAACUUCUUCAUGGUGAGGGUGGCAGAGCCUGGCCCAGGCUGCCCAGGGGGUUGUGGAGUCUCCUUCUCUGCAGACAUUCCAACCCGCCUGGACACCUUCCUGUGUAACCUCAUCUGGGUGUUCCUGCUCCAUGGGGGAUUGCACUGGGUGAGCUUUCCAGGUCCCUUCCAACCCCUGACAUUCUGGGACUCUGUGAUUAUAUUUAUAAGGCUCAAGACAAUUCAGGGCCGUGGCUGAUGCUGGUUUGUGGGUUUAAAAGUCACGCGUUGGCAUUCUUUUGAAGGUUUCCAACAUCCGAUACUAUGGUAUGGCCAUAUCAUCCUAUGGGUGCGGACAGCUACAGACAUGACCUGUUUGUGCCCUGUUGAGGUUUCUGGUAAUGGCCUUUAUUGACACAGGAGGUGACUUUGUCUUCCUGAAUCGUGGUGGAGUCGCGUCUGAACUGAGGGGCUGUUGGAGACGCUGGGGAGAUGCUAAUGAAGAACAGCUGGUUUAUUUUGUGGUGCUGAUGCUCCGCAAAGCCAAGCGCUGCUGCUGUCAGUGAGUUACUGCUGUCUGCAAAGGAUCUGCAAACAGCCCAGGAGAGGAGGGUUCAGCCCAGGUUACAGAACACUCAGAGCGGUGGGGCAGGGCACGAACGCUUCAGCAAGCUACUUUCUUUUUUCAUUUCAUAUUUCAGUAAAGCAGAGGAAAAAGUGCUUUUGAUUCCAGCCCCCCAGGUCUCAGCUGGGAUGGGGGCCCAUCUGUUCUGUUUGUUUUCUUUGUUGUAGGGCAUGUCUGUGGUUUGGAUUUGGUGUGUGGCGUUGUAAAACGUCUCCAUUAGAGGUGGGGAGUCUGGGGGCUCGGUUACACAAUCCAAAGCAGAUGGGAAGUGAAAUGCAAAACCCCGCGGGUGGUUUAUAGCAACGUGUUCGCUUGGAGAGGGAAAGUUGGCUGCCGGCGUGUGGCAGCUACUGCAGCCCAGCUGGGGGACCUGGCACUGCAGAAACGGGGCACACGUGGGGCUGCAGGUUGUAAAUGCAGCUGUAGAUGCCCACAAACCAUGGGCACCAUCUGUGGAAUAUGGUGUUCCCUGAACUUCAGGGGCAGGCACUGGGAAAAUGAGUUUAUGUUUCAUAGAAUCAUUUUGGUUGGAAGAGACCCCUAAGUUCAUCGAGUCCAGCCAUAACCUAACUCUGGCACUAACCCAUGUGCCUAAGAGCCUCAUCUAUACGUGUUUUAAACCCCUCCAGGGAUGGUGACUCCACCAUUUCCCUGUUCAUUCUGGUUUAUCGUAGCAAAGGUCCCAGCCUGGACACCGCAUGUUUUUAUAGUUAAUGCAGUAAACCUCUGGGCUGCUUAUUUGAGAUGACUUUAGCGUCAAAUCUGCCAAACCAAAGAUGCAAAAUCAUACCUCAUGUGUCCAAAACUAUCACGAAACUAGCAGAGACCAAGAUCAAACCCCAGGAAAUGGAGCCAAUCUGCUUCACAAGCAGGUAAACAAGCUGAUUCUCUCUGAUCUCUCUGCUCGCAGACAUCAGCUCAGAGUCCCGUCUGCAGAGGAAUCUGCCCCACAGAUGCUGUUUGGCUACAAAAGCAGCUGCUCUUAGCUGGAGAGGGUACGCACACUCCUGUGUUUUCAUUUACCUUGAUUCAUCUCUCUUGCAAGCGCCACCUAGAUCUCUCGGCUCUUCCACAGCGAUUAGUGUUUACAGUCACUUCAAAUACAGCUGGCUACAAAAAUAGCAAACGGGAGUGAAAUGUAUGAGGAACUCCUGCAGCAGCCGGAUGAGCCCCCGCUGCUUUCACGCCCUGUGCACUUGCGCUCAGGUCUUUCCGCUGGCGGCUGCGAUACCUCAGCUCGCAAAGCCUGGAGAUACGCUUAGAUCUGCCACCCAGGACCAUCACAAACCUUGUGCCUCCUACCCUAAUCGCCCGGUGCGUUUCUCCAGUGUAAACAUGCACCGGUGCGGGGGCGUAUGUGCGUAAAACGUUCCCCCAGAAGAACUCGAGUGAUGCCGUUGGGAGAGGAGAAGGGAAGAAACAUGAUGGAUUUCAGUGGCGCUGCUAAAAGCGCUGCCAAGUGACACGCUGACAGCGGAACCGAGUGGGUGACGAGAGCCCACAGAGCAUAGAAGUGAUAGAACUGUUUUCAUGGGUACCAUGGCGCAGCAUUUUGGUUUUCUGUCUGGUACGUAGCCUGCAAUAUUACUGCUCGUUAUAAAAUUAUACCAUAAUUUGGACCUACGUAUGGCGUGAGUAUAGCACAAAACCUACAGGCUGUAAGAAGUCUAUGGGUGAAUAGCAAUGCAGGAAUUCUAACAUUUAAAUUUCUGAGAUUUUUAUGUUAAACUAUAGAAUCCUAUAUGAUAUUAACUUGUUUCAAAAUCUGUGCACGCUGCUGUCACUUGCCCCGGGAAGUAUUUUUAUAGAGGCUGGUUUGCAGCAGCAAACAGAACUGCAGCCAAACUAGAGCUAUGGGAGAUGGGUAAGAACAAACCAGACUCUUCAUUUCAGCUCCUUUAGAGACAUUAGUGCUUUCCAAGAGGAAAGAAAACAAAAUAAAUAGGAACAUUUACCAUUUGAUUUGUGCGCCAUUAUCCCGCUGAGCAGGAUAAUACAGCAUUAAUUAGCAUCUCAUUAAGAGCUAGCAAGGCUGUAAAUACAAACAUACAGGCAACAUGCAUGAAGCAAAGACCGUGUUUUUCUGGUUCCAUGAUUAGAUUUGCUCAGUUUUGUUUUCUCAUCCACUAGACUGGAGACAACCUUGUAGGGCUUUGUCUGCGGAUCUUUGCAUUAGUAUUGUUCAAAGUACUCCAAAAUCAGCAAGCUGUACUUUUGUUUUUAAUUAGUUGGCAAGGUGACAAAUCAUGCAAGUGUCUGUAAAACUGCCUAUGGGUAAAUCCCAUAUGAAGUAAAUAGAAAUUAUUCUCCCUUGGGAGACACAGUGAGACACCAUUAAUUUUGGCACAGGAGGAAAGCACUACUUGAAAGUAGCCUUGUCUUUGAUUCGUUAUCAAAGCUGAAGCUCUAAGGGAGCCCAGAAAAUGACUCUUAAGAGGGAAACAUAAAAAGAAAAUCCCAGAUGGGCGCAGAUCCCACUUGAUGAGGCCAAAAGCAAUAACCUAAUUAGCAGCAGGUUCUAAAAGAACGUGGAGCAGAGCUGCCUCUCAGCACAGGAGCCGCGCGCCUGCAGCUGCACGAGGACACGGAGCAGUGCCAGUGCCCAGCCUGGUGCACGGGGCCAGGACGCUGCUGCUGCUGCCAGAUGGGACGGUUCCAGCCCCCUGUACACCCAUCCCAUUGAACAGAACCAGGUGGGUGUCCUGUGUGCACAGACACUGGGGUCUGAGCGGCUCUGCAGGGGGAGAGCUGCCUCGGCGUGGUGUCUGGGGGAGCGGGAGAACCGGAGCCAGGAGAAUCUGACUGAGAAGGGACGGUGUGCAGGAGCAAACGGACAACACGCAGUUUCUGACCCCGACAAACUAUCCGGCUGAUUUAGCUGCCACACAGAUGUCAAGGGACUUUGGGGUUGUCUCACAGAGCCUGGAAAUAGGCUCCCACACCAUUCCAGUGGCAGUAAGUAGAUACUGAGGUAUACAGCUCCCCUUUUCAGACCUGGCUCUGACCUCAACGUCCUUUAGAUGUUCUGUUUGAAUACGUAGGGGAAGUUCAUCCUUCUUUUCUCUUUCACCUCUCACAACUGUUCUUUCUCAGUUUGUCUCCUAACUUGCUAACUUUCCCUUUCCCUUGGUGACUCCUUCCUCCUCUCUGUUAUGUCUACAGGUUUUUUUCCAGUGUUCUUUUCAUCUCAUACUUCCCAGUGUAUGUUAUGCAUUUCCAGGGUCUCCACUAGUAGAUGAGUACUGACCUGAGUGAAUUUUCCCAUCUUGUACAUUCCUGCUUUCUUCUCUGCUUUUCUAAUAUCUCCCCUGGGCUUCUGGUGUUCCAUCACUUACAGACAGCUGCAUACACUACCAGCGCCAGUAGAUCCUUCAUGUUCUUACAACCAUUCUGUAUUUACAAUUAAACUUUCCACUGCACAUGCAUCCGGGCUGCCAACACAAAACCUUCACCUUCUAUAAACUGCACUUCACCAGUACGUCAGUGCCUUAAAAUUCCUCUUUGUAACCAAUGUAUCCUGCCUUGAUUACUGUCCAUGCUUUUGUCCAAAGACACAAUUCAGGGAUAUUGAUUCUUUCCUCAGAUGCCCUUGCUCCCCUCGUGCUCAGUACUGAACCAAGUGUCAGAUUCUUGUUCUUUCUUCCACUCCUUGUACAGCUCUGAACCUCCUCCCUUUGCUUGUUUUCUAUCACACGCUCCUGCCCCAGCAGGGCCAGGCUGCGUUUCCACGUUUCUGCACAGAACUGUACAUGCUUUUGCUCUCGAGCACAGCUCGGCAUCAGGUCUGAGCUGUCUGGUGAACACGGUGACCAGCGAUGUGCUGCAUUCAGUCGAUCUGCACUUGUGCAGCAAGUCUGACACGUCUGGAACGCCCCAGAUUCCCUGUGCACACACACACACCAUUUGUGUGUUGCAGACAGAAGGGCUGAAGCUUUCCGGAAAGAUCAGGUUGACGAUGUAUGUGCACUGACAUUGAUCUGCCAUUGUAUAGAACUCCCAUGUUUGGGAUUUUCUAAUAUCUGGAAGCCUAGAAAAAUAAAUUAAAAUAGUGACAUUUUCCCCAGACAAAAUCGUAGGUAGAAACACGACAUGCCCCUAUGCCGGCUUUAUUUCUUUCUCACUCCCUCAUCAUCACGUUUUCUUCUGUGCCAGAUCUCACGUCUGCAUGAGUUAAGAACAACAGAACCUUAGAUACUGCUCUCUGCAGAUAACCUCCUUACUGAUCGCAGAGACCUGUGCUUUGCCACUCCCAGCAGUGGUUUUGGGGUAUUCUAAUUUGACAAUGCUCUCUUAUUAAUAUGAGUAUUCGAGCUCCCAUUUGAAAAUCAUUGGGCACUGCUCUUAAAGUCAUUAGCAGACAUACUCUGAAUACAAAUCUUUAUUGCAAUUAUUCUGCUUCUAUAUUCCUGAGCAAUGGAUCAUUCUAUAUGCCCCCUGUCCUCUUAUCCAAGUGCUAGCUCCUGGCAGCAGAGGUGACCUCGCUAACAGGCUUCCCCCCAGCAUGAUGCCCAUUGUUAACUGAUCUCACCUGAAGUUCUGUUUCAGUUUCUUUCUUGACAUCUCGCAGCUGUUUCUCAAGUGCCUUUAUCUCUGUCUUUAGUUCCUCGUCCCUGAAAAAAAUACUUGAGUGUAUCAGAAAAGACACGAGCUGUUUACCUAGAAAGGGAAUGUCCCAUCAUGGCAGCACCUUAGCUGAGCACUGCCCCACUUAUCCUGCUCGCUCAAUGAGUUUUAACAGCUGAACUAAAAGAGUGCACACAAAAGCUUGGGCUGCCUCCUCAGAACAGCACAAGACAAGCCCCUUUCCAUGGCUGAGUAGCAAAAAAGGCAUAAAUCUGUUCACUCUGAGCUUCAGGGAGGCAGCACAUCUGCAAGUCAAGGACAGAGACUCCUCACCAAAGCUGGUUUAGUUGGUAAGUAAAUCCUGAAAGAAGAGGUGCAGAGACUGAGCAAGGGGGUCGGGAAUGAAGGGAGAAUGAGCCAAAAACCAGGGGAUGCUCGAGCUGAAAGCCUGGAGUGGACUUGAGCAUGAUGUGGUUGUUACAGCAGAAAGAAGCCUAUCGAUGAGUGACAGUUUCUGCAUGUCAGGCAAAAAUCUCCCUGUUUCUGUUGGAAACGUGCCUCAUCAGCAGAUAGUCCCAAAUUGUGCAAGUUUCAUUAUAUGUAUGGAAUGUGGGGUUUUUUUUUAUAUCAGGCUUAAAAUCUUUCAAAAAACACUGCUUCAGAUUCUGAGAUCCAUGAAAGGAUAUGAGUGAAGGCCAAAAGCUACAGUGUUGUUUACCUGCUUAAAACAAAGCAGAUGCAGUAACAUUCUAGGUCUUAUUUCACGUGGAGUACUUUUCUAGGCUUGAUUUAAAGGCAGUAAAUACUCAAGUUGGCACCUGAGACUUUGUACCCUAUCCCAGCCUUACAGCCAAACAUGCGUUUCACGUUCAGAGUCCUUAGCUGGGUGACUGUGAUAAACAAAAGCUCCUGAUGUGGUGUUCCAGUCUUACUGCAGACUUUUAGACUAAUGUGCUGACAUAAACCCAGACAAAUAUAUAUUGUACUGAUUAUACUAAUACAUCAUACUAAUGUAUACUAGAACAGACAACACAGCGGUUAGAUGUGGUUGACAGAAUGGAAUAAAAAGGAUUAUGGCCUUUUGGAUUAUGAUUUGUCUGCUCCUUUCCAAGUCCCAGUAUUAGUUAUUCUACAAGCAUUUGCUGCUUUCAUUUUUACUUUCCCUUCUGUGGAUAAAAAUUAAAUCCCGUGGUUUUAGACAGUGGAAGAGUUGCGUUUUGUUCUUGAAAUCUCAUAUUUCACUGGAAGCAAAGCCCUGAGCCACCACCGCUUUGCUGCCUGCCCUAAAUGAUGGGCCUGAGUUGCCACACAGAACAAGUAGCUUUAAAACGGUCAAAUACUUCUCUGAUGACCGCUGUUCUCUCUGGCAUGCUAGGGAUUGAACCAGGGCUUCCCAUGCUAAAAUAGUCUCCAAACCUCUAGUGCGCAGAAGUUUGAGCUAAGGAAUCACCCGUUUGAGCUGAGAUUAUAGCAAAUCCAUUCCCUGUGUGAUUUGGGACAGAAGAGGACCUGUAGUGCAGCGGCUGGUGGCUUAACCUUAAAUAAGGCAACUGCUUCCGUCACCACUUGUUCUACCCCCUCACAUAUGAGCUGUGGGUCAGAGCAGAUUCUCCUGGGCAUCACUUCACCUGAAGACCAUAUGUUGCUUGCCUUGGUUUGACUGGAUUCCCUGCUGCUCUGCCUUUCACUCGGGAUGAGAGUUAAAGAUCUGGGAGCUCCUGCAUCACAUUGUGUUUUAACUGAUAUGGGGCAGCAUUUGCAUUAAUACAGACACUGGUGUCCACUGUGGUCAAAGCUCUGAUCAGUGUCAGAACCAUCAGUUAUUUCUUUCCGAGGGGGAAAGAAGUGCAGUUGGUAAAGCAGACAGAAUAAUCAGUUGAAGAAGCAGAAUCCUUUCUGUAUUUUGUUUUGUUGCUUGGUUGUUAUUGCUUUGGUUGUUUGUUUGUUGCUGUUUUUAGCAUGUACGGAGGGGCAAUGAGCUUUGGCUUUGAGCAGUCAAGCAGGAAGGUACUGAACACAACACUGACCUGAUGAGGACAUCAUGAAACUUGCUCUUUUUUGCCUUCUCUCUCUCAUUAGCUUCUGUUAGGCUAUUAAAUGUUCCUGAUUCCUGCAUCUUUUUCAUAGUGGCUGUGAUUACAUCACUUGCGUACUGCCUGCAGGAAGAAAGUGAACACAACAGUAAUUUAUAGGUGCUCAUACUACAGUGUCUGGCACCUUUAUCUAUUAUUGCUAACAGCUUAAAAGGUAAGGAAAUAUAAAAUCCCAUUUCUGUUCUUAUGUCCUGUCAAACCCAAGAGUGCUUCUCUCACGGUAUCUCCUUCUUGUACGUCUGGAGAACUCUGUAUGAGGAAUUGGUUGAAGUUUAUAAUUUAAAAAUGCUGCCCUGAAUGCUGCCCUAUGAAACAGCAAAGAGGCACAAGCGACCCCAGACUGAGCCGCCACCAGGAGGACGGCUGCUGGCCUGCAGCAGUGGUGGCAGCUGGAUGGAGCUUGGAAAACAAGACCUGAAUAUGCAGAUGUGUGUCUGUGAUGGAACAUCUGGGUGCCAAAAUAUCCCAGUACAGCCCUAAGCUGAUUUUAACAUACACAUGGCCUUGCCUAGUUUAUUUAAUUCCACGGUGCAUUUGGUAUCUAUAUUUUAGUUGUAUUUUCCUCAUUUGUGUUAGGAUCUUCUUUAAGCCCUGUAUUGAAAAAUACUAAAGGACAAAGCCAGGACACAGAAAAACGCAUAGUGAAUGCUCAGCUGAGACCCCACUGCUCUCGUUAGAGAUGCUCCUUCCACACCAAGACUGAGCUACACAGCAGUGGGAGAGUGGGAAGCUUGUAUUUCUGCUUUCAAGAGGUAGACUGAGAACUUUGCAGCUCUGAGCAUCCCCCAGAGCCAUCAUGUCUGUGCUUCACUCACCUGUCAGCCUGAAUUUUUGUGAGAUUCUCUACAGGCAGUGCGCUGUGUUUCACGGCCCUCCUGGAAAGAUGACGGGCACUUUUCAUAUCUUCGGUUUUCCCCAGCUGCUGCUUGUGUUCGCUGCUUUUCAGAGCUGUGGAGGUAACUAUUUCCCUGCUCCCUUGCCUGGCUGACAUAAGCUCUUGGGAGUUCAUGUCUGGCUCCUUCUGGGUCUCUAUGUUUUCUGUCAAUUCCUGGCUGCCAGUCUAAAAGGGAGUAAGAGAGACCUGCUUGUACAUUGGGCAGUAGAAAUAAACCCUCUGCAACAUUAUGGGAAAGGAAGAAAAAUAAUAAACUAGAAUGAACUAAGAGCAGUUGAUAGUGCAUAUUACAUUCUGCAGAGAGUAGAAGAGCAGAAACGUUUAUCCUGGUUAGCUUUGAGCGCACAAUGUAGGCUUAUUAAAGCUUAUGGAAUCAGAAGCCCUGAGAUGACAGGACUAGAAAAGGCCUCGAAAGAUGAAUUCAUCUGCCCCAAGAGAUGAUGGCUCAACCUGUGUCAUUCCUGGUAUGUUCCUAAUGCCCUCCAGCAAUGGAGACCACGCACCCUGCUGCCGGCACAGCUUUACCAUUAAAAAAGCUGCAGUUGAGCCCCCGGCUUCUUGUCCUGUUCUCCAUAGGCACAGAGAACAAAUCGUUCCUUCCUUCUUUGCAGCAGCUUUUAUGUACUGGAAGACUGCUUCCCCUCCGCCUUCUCUCCAUUUUAGCCAUUUCCCUGUCACCAUGACCUUUCCAACAUUAUUAUUGGAAUAUUAUAUAAGAUAGUAUGUAUUACUAUGUAUUAUAUUAUAUUGUAUUAUAUUAUAUUGUAUUGUAUUAUAUUGUAUUAUAUUAUAUUGUCGGGGAUUGGCUCAAGGAGCACAGACAUGAGUCCACCAAGCAACUGUACGAGCAGAGCCCAUUUUAGUUGACAUAAGUAGGCCUUAGUUAGCUUGUCUAUUAGGCCAUGGGAAAGGGGGGAACGGAAAAGUACUGACUAAAGCAGGGUCAGGAUAUUUUUGAAGAGAUAAGAGUCAGAAGAAUGUGGGAUGCGCAUAGCUAGCUAAACCCAAGUAGGUGGAGUAAGUAAAUGUGCUUAGCCUAUUAGAUAGAGACAAGUAUGCAUAAUUAUGGUAUUUGGUAUAAAUGCACGCCAUCUCGGGCAAUAAAGUUGAAGUAUGCUUUAUCACUCAUAUUGAGUUGGCUGCAUUUCUUCCUCCGUCCGCUCGGGUCUGGAACUCUGAUGGGAUUUCUCUCGGCAUUAUAUUGUAUUAUAUUAUAUAUUGUUAUAAUAUAUAUAAAAUAUGCAAUAUUAUUGUUAUAACAAGAGCUGAGAUGUGCGGAACUGAAAGUGGUAGACAUCAGCUAUCUGCUUAGCUGUUUUGUGAGAGAAUGAAGGCAGAGGAGGUAUAACAUUAAUUCAAACAAGAAAUUCAAAAUAUUGGCAGCUCUCUUCUACAUAGGAAGGUAUCUUGUGGCCGUGUACAAUUUUAUUAAUAAAGAAAAAGGCCCAGAAAAGCAAAAGCACACUAUAAAAUCUGUUGAGGACUUCUAGGAAUUUCUCUGCUUUAAGUGCGGUGAGUGGAAAUGCAGAUGUAUACACUGGGACAUGAAAACAGAACAUUCUCUUGCCCACCUACUGGCAUCUCUGUGGCUGAACACAAUGGCAGAGCUGCUGAAGCCAGGAAAGUCACUGCCGGCCCCAUCCCAGUGCUGCCCACCCUGCCUGCCUGGGGAACUGGAUUAGAGAACUCACUGAGCUGAAACAUUUCCCAAGCAAAAAGGGGGGGGAAAGGGUUUUUUUGGCAACACCCAUUCUGAGUCCAGAUCCCUCCACAACCGCACACACGUUUGUGCCACCGCAGCACAGAGGGCAGGGUAAAACAAGCGCUGGGGGCAGCAGCUGUGGAUGCCAGUCGUGUUUCCAGCUCAUCCCGUGCCGUUCCCUGGGUGGUGUGCGGUGCUGCGUCCUCCUCAGAGCCUUGUACAUCUCCAGAUGGGAUCAAACGGCCUCUGGCAGUGCCUGACUCGCCCUACAGGAGUCUAGGGGACUACAUGAUUAAUUUUUGGACAGUUAAAUUUACAUUAAAUGAGUCCCACGCGAAGUAUUCGCAGGCCAAUGAAAAUUACGUAGUUAAUUAGAAAAAAAGAAAAGGGUUUAAAUAGUUUGCUGUAGGUGCUGUACUUCAGAAAGAACUAAUUUUGGCAAAUAUCAUGUAGAUUUUAUGAAUGUUCUGAUAAAUGUUUUUUAAUGUCUGGGAAAGUUCAAGACAAGCUAUAACUGGGUUGUCUGUAAACAACAGGGACUCAGACACUAAUAAUUACCAAAUAACUAUGUAAGAGCAAGGAGUUUGUAAACUGCAUGCGUUACCAUCUGCGUAGUCUCCUCACUGUUUAUAUUUUGCUAAUCUUUUGCCCAAAAUUCAGCAGAUAGAAAGGCUGCCUUCCUCAUGAAGCAAUGUACUGGAGUCCCUGAUGUGGAAAAUCAAUGAGGCGCUGGCCAACACCGUGAUUAAUCCUCUCAAAAAUGUCAUCGACUGAAAUUUAGAUGUCGGUCAUUGAAAAUGUCAUUGAUUUGUUUGACUGACUGAGCUCCAGGGUGCUUUACAAGUACAGGUCUUCUACAAAUACAACGAUACCAGACAAAUGUAAACUGAUAAACGGGGAGUAGCAGGAAAUUAGAGCACCCAAGUUAGCACGUAGCUUCCCUAAGUCGUUUUCUUGUUUCUAAAUUGUUUCUUUCUUGAUUUGUUUUGGCAUCUUUAGGAACACAAGCAGGGUUUCUAGUCUGUGAGAAAACUGUGUUUUAAGAUGUGACUUGGUUAAAAUGAGCAUCUGUGAUUUGAAGAGAAAAGCUAAUGUGUUUUCUCUAUAAUUCAAGUGUACCUUUAGUAGGUCUGUCAGCCUGAGUCUGUGUGUCUGAAGGACAACUCCUGCUGUCCUAGAUGUGCUUUUUCUCUGCGGUGUUGCUGGCACGUAAAGGGUUUUCCACCCAGCCCUGAGAGAGAGAAGCAUCUUCUGGCAUCAGAUGGAAUAUUGUGAAAGCGCAUCUAGGGAAUGGUGGAAAUUCACUAUAAACUCAAGUGAAAUUGGUCCAUUUAGAAAAAUGCAUAAGAAGACACCUGCUUAAUAAUGGAGAAAUUCUCUGACAUUUUUAAUGCUUUGCUAAGCCAUUAGACAAUCCCUCCAGACCCUAUACACACAAAACAGAUAUUUCUUGUAUAACACCUGGCACAACUGGAGUCUGAGAUGACCAAGAUCCUGAAUGUCAUGGCAAUGGAAGCACCAGCAUCCACUCAUAUCAUCUUCAUUUGGCUGCUAUACCUACCACUGGAUUUGUGCCACCUGUAAAGCCCUUGAAUAAACAUACUCUGCGUCUGCAGAAUAGUACAGUGCAAUAUGUAAGCAUGCCAAGGAAAUACAUCAGACAAUGCCUGUUAGUGUGAUUAACAGGAUAAGGCAUGGCCACAUUCUAUGAAAAUUAAAGAGGUUUAGAUGCAGUUAUGCUCUGGAUCACUGGAAAUCAGUGAUUUUUCAUAAGCAACUUUACAAGUGUUUAAAAAAAUACAUACUAUGAUCUCUCUGAAACUGU